CAAAGGAAGCGAUUCCGGCAACGGAUGGGCAUGCGUGACAUUAGCUAGUUGGCGGGGCAACGGCCCACCAAGGCGACGAUGUCUAGGGGUUCUGAGAGGAAGGUCCCCCACACUGGUACUGAGACACGGACCAGACUCCUACGGGAGGCAGCAGUGAGGAAUAUUGGUCAAUGGGCGCGAGCCUGAACCAGCCAAGUCGCGUGAGGGAUGACGGCCCUACGGGUUGUAAACCUCUUUUGUCGGGGAGCAAAUUCCGCCACGCGUGGCGGAGUCGAGAGUACCCGAAGAAAAAGCAUCGGCUAACUCCGUGCCAGCAGCCGCGGUAAUACGGAGGAUGCGAGCGUUAUCCGGAUUUAUUGGGUUUAAAGGGUGCGUAGGCGGACUGUCAAGUCAGCGGUAAAAUACGGGGGCUCAACCUCCGCCCGCCGUUGAAACUGACGGUCUUGAGUGGGCGAGAAGUAUGCGGAAUGCGUGGUGUAGCGGUGAAAUGCAUAGAUAUCACGCAGAACUCCGAUUGCGAAGGCAGCAUACCGGCGCCCAACUGACGCUGAAGCACGAAAGCGUGGGUAUCGAACAGGAUUAGAUACCCUGGUAGUCCACGCAGUAAACG
rnacentral:rRNA from 1 species